AAAUUGAAGAGUUUGAUCAUGGCUCAGAUUGAACGCUGGCGGCAGGCCUAACACAUGCAAGUCGAGCGGUAGCACAGAGAGCUUGCUCUCGGGUGACGAGCGGCGGACGGGUGAGUAAUGUCUGGGAAACUGCCUGAUGGAGGGGGAUAACUACUGGAAACGGUAGCUAAUACCGCAUAACGUCGCAAGACCAAAGUGGGGGACCUUCGGGCCUCAUGCCAUCAGAUGUGCCCAGAUGGGAUUAGCUAGUAGGUGGGGUAACGGCUCACCUAGGCGACGAUCCCUAGCUGGUCUGAGAGGAUGACCAGCCACACUGGAACUGAGACACGGUCCAGACUCCUACGGGAGGCAGCAGUGGGGAAUAUUGCACAAUGGGCGCAAGCCUGAUGCAGCCAUGCCGCGUGUGUGAAGAAGGCCUUCGGGUUGUAAAGCACUUUCAGCGGGGAGGAAGGCGGUGAGGUUAAUAACCUCAUCGAUUGACGUUACCCGCAGAAGAAGCACCGGCUAACUCCGUGCCAGCAGCCGCGGUAAUACGGAGGGUGCAAGCGUUAAUCGGAAUUACUGGGCGUAAAGCGCACGCAGGCGGUCUGUCAAGUCGGAUGUGAAAUCCCCGGGCUCAACCUGGGAACUGCAUUCGAAACUGGCAGGCUAGAGUCUUGUAGAGGGGGGUAGAAUUCCAGGUGUAGCGGUGAAAUGCGUAGAGAUCUGGAGGAAUACCGGUGGCGAAGGCGGCCCCCUGGACAAAGACUGACGCUCAGGUGCGAAAGCGUGGGGAGCAAACAGGAUUAGAUACCCUGGUAGUCCACGCUGUAAACGAUGUCGAUUUGGAGGUUGUGCCCUUGAGGCGUGGCUUCCGGAGCUAACGCGUUAAAUCGACCGCCUGGGGAGUACGGCCGCAAGGUUAAAACUCAAAUGAAUUGACGGGGGCCCGCACAAGCGGUGGAGCAUGUGGUUUAAUUCGAUGCAACGCGAAGAACCUUACCUGGUCUUGACAUCCACAGAACUUAGCAGAGAUGCUUUGGUGCCUUCGGGAACUGUGAGACAGGUGCUGCAUGGCUGUCGUCAGCUCGUGUUGUGAAAUGUUGGGUUAAGUCCCGCAACGAGCGCAACCCUUAUCCUUUGUUGCCAGCGGUUAGGCCGGGAACUCAAAGGAGACUGCCAGUGAUAAACUGGAGGAAGGUGGGGAUGACGUCAAGUCAUCAUGGCCCUUACGACCAGGGCUACACACGUGCUACAAUGGCAUAUACAAAGAGAAGCGACCUCGCGAGAGCAAGCGGACCUCAUAAAGUAUGUCGUAGUCCGGAUUGGAGUCUGCAACUCGACUCCAUGAAGUCGGAAUCGCUAGUAAUCGUAGAUCAGAAUGCUACGGUGAAUACGUUCCCGGGCCUUGUACACACCGCCCGUCACACCAUGGGAGUGGGUUGCAAAAGAAGUAGGUAGCUUAACCUUCGGGAGGGCGCUUACCACUUUGUGAUUCAUGACUGGGGUGAAGUCGUAACAAGGUAACCGUAGGGGAACCUGCGGUUGGAUCACCUCCUUACCUUAAAGAA
rnacentral:rRNA from 4 species